rnacentral:sRNA from 1 species
CAAACUCAGCAAACUCAAAACUCAUAAAA